UGGGGAAUAUUGGACAAUGGGCGAAAGCCUGAUCCAGCCAUGCCGCGUGUGUGAAGAAGGUCUUCGGAUUGUAAAGCACUUUAAGUUGGGAGGAAGGGCAUUAACCUAAUACGUUAGUGUUCUGACGUUACCGACAGAAUAAGCACCGGCUAACUCUGUGCCAGCAGCCGCGGUAAUACAGAGGGUGCAAGCGUUAAUCGGAAUUACUGGGCGUAAAGCGCGCGUAGGUGGUUUGUUAAGUUGGAUGUGAAAUCCCCGGGCUCAACCUGGGAACUGCAUUCAAAACUGACUGACUAGAGUAUGGUAGAGGGUGGUGGAAUUUCCUGUGUAGCGGUGAAAUGCGUAGAUAUAGGAAGGAACACCAGUGGCGAAGGCGACCACCUGGACUAAUACUGACACUGAGGUGCGAAAGCGUGGGGAGCAAACA
rnacentral:rRNA from 1 species